UCUCCUCGACCUCUUAUAUUCUUCUAUGUUCUAUUGUUUGAGUGCUUAAUUAUGGGCUGUUCUACAUCAAAGUCUUUGUCUAUAUUAGUCCAAGGUCAAGGCCGACUUUGUACCUGGUUGACUUUAUAAAUGGUCCUUAAGAAUUGUCAUGCCUAUGGCACCCUAAAAUUAAUUUAUAAUUUGAGAUUGUAUAAAUAUGUGCCUUGACUUAGACAUUUGGUUUCGUUACUCGUAUAAUCAUUUUGUCUGAUAGGUUUGUUUUAGUAUUUUGUCAUGCAUUAUUGAUAUUGUAUGUUGUGUAUGUAAUCAACUUGUUAUUUUUCAGGACUGCAAUUGUUUUAGGCACCAGUAUACCACUUGUUUUAUUUCUAGUCUGGAAUGCCGUGAUUCUAGGAACCAUCACAACUGUUGAAAUGAGCUCAGAUAAGAUCAUGGAUCCAUUACAACAAUUGCUAUCUACGAACGAAGUUGUUGGACCUAUUGUUGAGGUGUUCUCACUUUUUGCUAUUGCAACGUCGUACAUCGGCUUUGUUUUGGGUCUCUCUGACUUCCUUUCUGACUGUGAGUUCCACCUAACGAUUCAUCUUUUUUCAAUAUGAAUGUGUAUUUAAUUAGUAGAA